GGAGAGGUGUCCGAGUGGCUGAAGGAGCACGAUUGGAAAUCGUGUGUUCCGCCUAAAGCGGAACCGAGGGUUCAAAUCCCUCCCUCUCCG
rnacentral:tRNA from 1 species